AUGAGUUAAGUAUAAACCCCUUUACAAGUAUCAAUUGGAGGGCAAGUCUGGUGCCAGCAGCCGCGGUAAUUCCAGCUCCAAUAGCGUAUAUUAAAGUUGUUGCAGUUAAAAAGCUCGUAGUUGGAUUUCUGUUAAUAAUUUUAUAGUAUAUUUAACAUAUAUUGUAUAAUAUUAACAUAAUUCAUAUUACUAUUUUUAGUAUAUGAAAUUUUACUUUGAGAAAAUUAGAGUGCUUAAAGCAGGCAUAUGCCUUGAAUACUCCAGCAUGGAAUAAUAUAAAAGAUUUUUAUCUUUUUUAUAUUGGUUCUAAGAUAAAAAUAAUGAUUAAUAGGAACAGUUGGGGGCAUUUGUAUUUAACAGUCAGAGGUGAAAUUCUUAGAUUUGUUAAAGACAAACUAGUGCGAAAGCAUUUGCCAAGGAUGUUUUCAUUAAUCAAGAACGAAAGUUAGGGGAUCGAAGACGAUCAGAUACCGUCGUAGU
rnacentral:rRNA from 1 species